rnacentral:rRNA from 1 species
AGACUACUCCCUGAAUUUAAGCAUAUUAUUAAGGAAGGAAAAGAAAAUAACUAUGAUACCCGCAGUAAUGGCGAAUGAAGUGGGUAAAGCUCAAGCUUAAAAUCUAGUCUCUUUUGAGAUUCGAAUUGUAGUGUAAAUUAACAUUAAUAUGGUCAUGAUAAUUGCCUAAGUGUGAACAUCUGAAUUUCCUAUCAAAGACGGUGAUAAUCCGGUAUGGUAGUUUGAUUGGCUAAAUAUUCUUGUUAUUUAAAGAGUCGAGUUGUUUGGGAUUGCAACUCUAAUAAAGGUGAUAGAUUUCAUCUAAAGCUAAAUAUAUUAGGAAAACCGAUAGCAAAGAAGUACUGUGAAGGAAAGGUGAAAAGAACUUUGAAAAGAGAGUUAAAAGUGCUUGAAAUUGUUAAAAGGGAAG